rnacentral:rRNA from 1 species
UGGGGAAUAUUGCACAAUGGGCGCAAGCCUGAUGCAGCCAUGCCGCGUGUAUGAAGAAGGCCUUCGGGUUGUAAAGUACUUUCAGCGGGGAGGAAGGUGUUGAGGUUAAUAACCUCAGCAAUUGACGUUACCCGCAGAAGAAGCACCGGCUAACUCCGUGCCAGCAGCCGCGGUAAUACGGAGGGUGCAAGCGUUAAUCGGAAUUACUGGGCGUAAAGCGCACGCAGGCGGUCUGUCAAGUCGGAUGUGAAAUCCCCGGGCUCAACCUGGGAACUGCAUUCGAAACUGGCAGGCUAGAGUCGUGUAGAGGGGGGUAGAAUUCCAGGUGUAGCGGUGAAAUGCGUAGAGAUCUGGAGGAAUACCGGUGGCGAAGGCGGCCCCCUGGACAAAGACUGACGCUCAGGUGCGAAAGCGUGGGGAGCAAACA